UACGGAGGGUGCAAACGUUGCUCGGAAUCAUUGGGCGUAAAGCGCACGUAGGUGGCCUGUUAAGUCGGGUGUGAAAUCCCUGGGCUCAACCCAGGAAGUGCACUCGAAACUGGCAGGCUUGAGUACUGAAGAGGGUCGCGGAAUUCCCGGUGUAGAGGUGAAAUUCGUAGAUAUCUGGAGGAAUACCGGUGGCGAAGGCGGCAUCCUGGACCGGCAUGACGCUGAGAGCGAAAGCGUGGGGAGCGAAACGG
rnacentral:rRNA from 1 species